UUCCGCGUGCAGGACGAAGGCCUUCGGGUUGUAAACUGCUUUUGUACGGAACGAAAAGGUCUCUAUUAAUACUAGGGGCUCAUGACGGUACCGUAAGAAUAAGCACCGGCUAACUACGUGCCAGCAGCCGCGGUAAUACGUAGGGUGCAAGCGUUAAUCGGAAUUACUGGGCGUAAAGCGUGCGCAGGCGGUUAUAUAAGACAGAUGUGAAAUCCCCGGGCUCAACCUGGGAACUGCAUUUGUGACUGUAUAGCUGGAGUGCGGCAGAGGGGGAUGGAAUUCCGCGUGUAGCAGUGAAAUGCGUAGAUAUGCGGAGGAACACCGAUGGCGAAGGCAAUCCCCUGGGCCUGCACUGACGCUCAUGCACGAAAGCGUGGGGAGCAAACAGGAUUAGAUACCCUGGUAGUCCACGCCCUAAACGAUGUCAACUGGUUGUUGGGUCUUCACUGACUCAGUAACGAAGCUAA
rnacentral:rRNA from 1 species